GGACGAACGCUGGCGGCGUGCUUAACACAUGCAAGUCGAGCGGUAAGGCCCUUUCGGGGGUACACGAGCGGCGAACGGGUGAGUAACACGUGGGUGACCUGCCUUUAGCUCUGGGAUAAGCCUGGGAAAACCGGGUCUAAUACCGGAUAUGACUCCGCGGCGCAUGUUGUGGGGUGGAAAGCCUUGUGCGGCUGGAGAUGGGCCCGCGGCCUAUCCAGCUUGUUGGUGGGGUGAUGGCCUACCAAGGCGACGACGGGUAGCCGGCCUGAGAGGGCGACCGGCCACACUGGGACUGAGACACGGCCCAGACUCCUACGGGAGGCAGCAGUGGGAAUCUUGCGCAAUGGGACGAAAGCCUGACGCAGCGACGCCGCGUGAGGGAUGAC
rnacentral:rRNA from 1 species